ensembl:lncRNA
GACAGAGGCCUCCAGGCCCAUAGAGGAGGCAGUAAACAGUGGUGGAGACAGAGGCCUCCCAGGCCCAUAGAGGAGACAGUAAACAGUGGUGGAGACAGAGGCCUCCCAGGCCCAUAGAGGAGGCAGUAAACAGUGGUCAAGACAGAGGCCUCCCAGGCCCAUAGAGGAGGCAGUAAACAGUGGUGGAGACAGAGGCAUCCAGGCCCAUAGAGGCAGUAAACAGUGGUGGAGACAGAGGACUCCAGGCCCAAAGAGGAGGCAGUAAACAGUGGUGGAGACAGAGGCAUCCAGGCCCAUAGAGACAGUAAACAGUGGUGGAGACAGAGGCCUCCCAGGCCCAUAGAGGAGGCAGUAUACAGUGGUGGAGACAGAGACC